UGCCUGGUGGUGUAAUGGUAGCACGACUGGUUCUGGCCCAGUUAGUCCAGGUUCGAGUCCUGGCCGGGCAGCCA
rnacentral:tRNA from 1 species